GUAGAUAACUAACAUUCAGGCCCUCACACAUUCGUCACGAGCUCAGGCAAUGGAGAAAGGAGUGGAUAUGAUAGGAAUAAAAACAUAUGCUUGGUGAGGCUAGGCCAACUGAUAGAAGUAAAGGGAUGGAGAACUUGAAAGGCUAUAGGAGUUGUGUUGACUAUAUGAGUACAGGUGAUGGAUGCUGACAGACGGAACCUCUGCCUGGAGAACCUCUCCACUUGCUGAAAAGAAAAAACUGGACGAAGGGAGAAAUUCCGAAAGCAAGGAACGAAUCUUCCAACCGAAAUACCCGGCGAUGGAGCAGGUAGAUCACGGAGCCAGUAGCGAACUAGCACGAACUCAAGCCACGCCCCUACAAGGGCUGACUCAGUCGUUUACUAUUCGCCUCCGCACUUUCUCCGUUCUAUCCCAACCCAACCACAACCCUGAGUGGGCGGAGCUAAAACCCCAAAAGGUGACUUGGGGAGGAGCAAGUGACGUCGUUGCUAAGGCAACUCGAAAUCUGGGCCCAGGAGUCGCCGGAGGUAGCGUUGUGAAUGAACAAAUGGGAGCCGAGGCCCUGCACAAGCUUCACUUCAGUGGCUGCCGCACUUUGACCACUGAAGAUGACCAAAGGAAAUCACAUCUAUAUUGAAUGGAAUCUUCACUUACAUUCUUAAACUGACGGGACUUACAGAUGGGGCAGAAAUUACUUUUAAAAACAAUCUGCUGAGGGAAUUCCCUGGAGGUCCAGUGGUUAGGACUCUGUGCUUCCCCUACAUGGGGCACGGGUUCAACCCCUGGUAUGAGAAGUAAGAUCCCAGCGACAUGGCCAAAUAAAUAAAUAACAGUAAAUCUGUUGAAAGACUGCUAGUAAUGGGGCUAAGUAAAGUGUGUGAAAUAGACAACCAGGCUACAAAGCCGGGGUUAAAUGGA